UACGUAGGUGGCGAGCGUUGUCCGGAUUUACUGGGCGUAAAGAGCGCGCAGGCGGCUGGUCAAGUCCGAUGUGAAAGCUCCCGGCUUAACUGGGAAAUUGCAUCGGAAACUGAUCGGCUGGAAGGUGGGAGGGGGUAGCGGAAUUCCCGGUGUAGUGGUGAAAUGCGUAGAUAUCGGGAGGAACACCUGCGGCGAAGGCGGGUUGCUGGGCUGACACUGACGCUGAUGUGCGAAAGCUAGGGGAGCGAACGGG
rnacentral:rRNA from 1 species